rnacentral:lncRNA from 1 species
AAUGAAUAACAGAAAUAGAAAAUCUCAGUGCUUUUUACUGCAUAAGAAAAAAAUGUGAAAUCCCAUUUAAAAUGUUUCCCAUUAUUUAUAAAGGGAAUUUAUCAUAGAGGCUUGGCAGGUUUGAUGAUCAGUGUCAUAUCAAAGACAGCAUUUUAUAACCCAUUUCUCAAACAUCAUCUGUGAAAGUUAAGAACCUCCAAUGAGUUUCCCAUAGAGCUGCACGUGAUACCACACUCAGGCAGGUCAUGGGGUAUUAAAAAUACCUUAAUGCUAUUGUUUGACAUUUUGACAAAGGGAAAAAACCCACACUUUUGUAAGUUCAGCCUACUGUGAUAUUUUUCUCUAUCUUCCUUCUUCUUCAGAUACCUCCGUGGCAUCUUGAUAGAAAAUACAGCUCGUGUUCCACCAUAUUGCUAGAUAACAGCACAGUCAGCAAGCCCAAUCUCAGCCACAUACUAGAUAGCAUUGCUUUGGCAAUAUAUUACAUCAUAAAGCACAGAUAUGCGAAUAGAUCUCUGGCUAUUUUUGAUGAGCCAAUACAUCCAUUUUCACAAGAAAAGAUUCCAGGGAAUUCCUUUGAGGAUGAUCCCACAUGCAAAUGCAUUUUUGAUUAUUUAUUUCAUCUUUUUAUACACAUAGAACCAAAACUAAAUACUCAAUGUGUGAUCGUAGCAUUGGUAAGCUAUUUCUUAUCUGUAAAGCAUCUUUAAUAACUGGUCUCCUACACAGCAUAUGGCCCUAAAUAAAAGUCAGUUCCUAAAGUUAUCAUCAGAUCUUUUAAGAGAAACCUAUGCAAGCAAAGUAAAUACACAUCUUAGAGUUUAAUCAUCAUCAGGUUUUAAAAUGAUGCCAUUGCUUUUCUUAUCACAGAGUAAUUGCUACUAAAAGCAGCAAGAGAGACUUCUGGUUUCUCCCUCAACAGAUUCCAAUGUAGGUCUAGGAAGAGACAGCAGGGAGCCCGCCUGUGAGAGAAAUGAAGGAAAGAAUGGAAGAGAUGAGGCCGCACAGGCGGUGCCGUAGCUCACAGGGCCCUUUGGCUUGCAGAGCAGAGGAUGAAGUUAAGGUUUUAUUUCAGUUUGAAGCGGGGACUAAUGGUAGAUCUUGAGCAGGGGAGUGCAGUGUUCUUAAUUUAGAGGUUAUCCCAACUGCUUUGGGGAGAGUAGACCAUAGCUGGGAGGAGGGUUGGGGCAGAGAAGAGGACUAAGAAGCAACUAGGCUGUUACAGGUGAGCCGUGACACAUGGCAGCCCAGAAUCUGAUGCAGUCAGCCUACCAGUGAAGGUAGCCAUAGAGGGAUCGCACACGGAUUGGAGGAGGGUAACUCACAUGUAAGUAUUAGUCCCCAGGAGCUAGGCCAAUGGCAAUUCCCUGGACAAGAUUAGGGCCAGGUUGGGGAGUGGAGCCUUGGGGUGAAGGGCUCUGGUUUGUGGGUGUGAAGGCUCCAGGGACCUCAGCAAGAGG